UGUGGGACUAUUAAACUAGGUCAGCUUUCUGUCUGUCUGCCCAUCACACUUAUUGAGAUACAAGAACUCUACUUCUAAUUUAGCUAGAAUGUUCAAACUUAGAGGUGAUGUUGAUAUUCAACAGGCAGUCUCUAUGGACGAUGGUUUAGGUCAAGGUGAAAUACAGAUAUUACAUGCUACACCUGAACAUAUAUCACAGUUACAACAAGCUCAUCAUAUACAAAUAUUACAAGGAGAUCAGGUUAUUGGGCAAUUACAGGCAGGUGACAUGGCCUCAUUAGCAGACGGUAUUCAAGUAGCCACGGUAACAACUGAAUCAGGAGAAGUUUUACACAUACGUGUACAGCAAACAUCUAAUUCGUGUCAGGCUGUUGUAACAGAGGCAACUACAGAAUCUGAAUUACAAGAAUAGUCUUCAUUCUUUUAUCUGUCCACUGUAUACCAGAUUUUUAUACUUCAACUAAAAAACUAUACAGUUUAUUUAUUUUGUAUAAUGCAGCUUGAAGGGGUAAAAAUAUAAAGAUUUGGUUAAACACAUGAAGACUGAUAAUGUUGUUUAAACUCCAUACAGAUGUAACAUAGUCUUCAAUCAGCCUCGCUAUCUUGCCAUUAGAAAUGUAAAAAUUUUAUAAAUGAACUGAAUAAACACAAGACACAAUUCUGUUGAAUAUAUUUCCAGUGUAUUUCAUUUGACUAUGUUUCUCUGGUAUUUCAUCCGUUACUGUAAAGAGAUCCUGAACACUUAUAAGUAAAUCGCUGCGCUAUAGAAAAGAUGUAAAUAAUAAUAAAUUAUAAUGAGUGAUGGUAUUGUAUGUAUACGAACUGAAAACCUUGAGUAUUGACUGGUUAUUUACUUCUAGAGUUAUGGUCCUUGCUUCACUUUAUAGAAUCUUAUAAACAUUCUAAACCAUGAAAGUUACCAUCUGAUCUGUAAGGAAUUUAUGUGCUUUAGGCCAAAUAAAAAAAUGUAUUUUGGAUCUCAGAUACAUUUGCAUCACUUAUACAGAGCCGCAUAACCUGUUUUUAUUUUUUUUU